GCUUGGGAGAGCAGACGGUGUGAUCUGGUUCCAAGCGCCCCAAAGGUUCUGCCCGUCGCCAGGUCUUGUUUACCCAAGUUACUCUGGUUGUCCCGACUGUUAGGAAAGCAACUUAUCAUUAUUGAAGGCCCAAGGGGCAUAUAUAUAUUACACAUGACUUGAGGUGCAAGAAAAGUAAACAUAGACUAAUAAGGACUCCUAGACUAAUACUAAUAGACUAAUAAGGACUCCUAGACUAAUACUAAUACUUCCUAACACCCCCUCUCAAAUGCAAAGCGUAUGCAAUAGCAUUGCAUUUGAAGAAGUGUAAUACUAAAGAAAAAAUUAUAAUCCAAAUCCGCGUCUUGAGAGUGUCAUCGUAGCAUGAAGGGUCUUCAAAACUUGUCGAGUCGCCGAAGGAGAUAACGAAGAGAUGGCACACCAAAGGUAGACACCGCAUUACUUGAAGAUACAAGAUAAGUAUCAAGAGAAGAAGGGUUGUCAAAAGAAGAUGUCACAUCAAGAGAAUAAAGCAUUGCGCGGAAAAUCAUAGUCCACGACAACCGUCGGCGAAAGAAGCUCGGCGGAUAAGGCACGGUGGACGUAGAUCGACAAUGCAAAAGAAGUCCAGAAAAUCCUAUAGAAAAUAACAAGGGCAAGUAGGCCACAAAAGUUGCAUAGAAAGGAUCAGGACCGGAGAAAGGCUGACGAACUAAGGUAUGGUGGACUCGCAUGGCAUGAGAAACACAUAAUAUUGACGGAUUUGGUGGACGCAGCGGAAAACAAGAAAGCUAAAAGCUAGGAAGCAUACACGACACAAAGAUGCAAAAUCCAUCGUGUAUGCAGUAGACAUUUUUUUUAAGCUAAGCUGCGAAGUAGCAGCAGAAAGUAGCUAGAAUAGCUGGCUCAUGAAUUGACCCGUCAUCGGUGGUGCCUGAGCAGACAUGUUCAACCAGCUAGCUAGCAUCGCUGGUGCAUGAAUGGCUGGUGCAGGGUGGUUGACUUGUAGCAGCCACCCGGGGCUGUGAGGCGACGUUGCAGCGGCCUUCGUGCGCAGCAGCGCUGGCCCGAGCGGAGAGCAGGGAGGCUGACGAGACAGCCCGGUGAAGCUGAUUCAUCGAGCGACACCAUAACGGACGCCACGGCGGAUCUGGCUGCAGGACGUCGACACCUCCCGCUCCGGCCAAGCCUGCGCAUGCCUCCAGCGCUGCGAAGAGUGCGACGACAACAGGGUCGUCCAGCGGCACCACAACGGACCGGGAGCCGGUCGGACGUAGCGGGACAGGGAGCAGGUCGCGGCGGGUGGAGUUGAUACCACAUCGAGGCAACAGCGGCCUCCAGAUCGAGGGAGCAGCGACCGAAACGAAUCGGGAGCCGGCCGAACGUAGCGUCAGGAGAGGAGAUUGAGCGGGGAGGCCCACGGGGAUCGAUCGGGAUGGAGAUCGAUCGGGAUGGAGAGAUUGGAUCGGGAGGGCGAGUUGCUGCGCCCGAAAAAAAUAACCUAAGCUCUAAUACCAUGUUAGGAAAGCAACUUAUUAUUAUUGAAGGCCCAAGGGGCAUAUAUAUAUUACACAUGACUUGAGGUGCAAGAAAAGUAAACAUAGACUAAUAAGGACUCCUAGACUAAUACUAAUAGACUAAUAAGGACUCCUAGAC
rnacentral:lncRNA from 1 species